rnacentral:rRNA from 1 species
CGCAAGCGUGACGGGGCCAUCCUCAGUGCCGUUCGAUAAGGACGGCUUUUGUCCAGCGUAAAUAACUGGACGAAUAAGGGGAGGGCAAGGCUGGUGCCAGCCGCCGCGGUAAAACCAGCUCCUCGAGUAGUCGGGAGGAUUACUGGGCCUAAAGCGUCCGUAGCCGGCCCUGUAAGUUUCUGGUCAAAACCAGCGGCCCAACCGCUGGCUUGCUGGGGGUACUGCAGGGCUUGGGAGCGUGAGAGGCCAAGGGUACUUACGGGGUAGGGGUGAAAUCCUAUAAUCCCGUAGGGACCACCGGUGGCGAAGGCGCUUGGCUGGAACGCGUCCGACGGUGAGGGACGAAAGCCAGGGGAGCGAACCGGAUUAGAUACCCGGGUAGUCCUGGCUGUAAACGAUGCGGACUAGGUGUUCGGGUGGCUAAGGGCUGCUCGAGUGCCGCAGAGAAGUCGUUAAGUCCGCCGCCUGGGGAGUACGGCCGCAAGGCUGAAACUUAAAGGAAUUGGCGGGGGAGCACCACAAGGGGUGAAGCCUGCGGUUUAAUUGGACUCAACGCCGGGAAGCUUACCGGGGGCGACAGCUGGAUGAAAGCCAGGCUGAUGACCUUGCUAGACUAGCUGAGAGGAGGUGCAUGGCCGUCGCCAGUUCGUGCCGUGAGGUGUCCUGUUAAGUCAGGCAACGAACGAGACCCCCACGCUUAGUUGCCAGCAGGCCCCAAGGGACGCUGGGCACACUACGCGGACCGCAGUCGAUAAGACUGAGGAAGGAGGGGGCCACGGCAGGUCAGUAU